rnacentral:rRNA from 1 species
UACAGAGGGUGCAAGCGUUGUUCGGAAUUAUUGGGCGUAAAGCGCGCGUAGGCGGGUUGGCAAGUCUGCUGUGAAAGCCCGGGGCUUAACUCCGGAGGGUCGGUGGAUACUGCCAGUCUUGAAGGUGCUAGGGAGAGAUGGAAUUACCGGUGUAGCGGUGAAAUGCGUAGAUAUCGGUAGGAACACCAGUGGCGAAGGCGGUCUCUUGGGGCAUUCUUGACGCUAAGGGCGCGAAAGCUGGGGGGAGCGAACGGG